rnacentral:rRNA from 1 species
GUAGGGUGCGAGCGUUGUCCGGAAUUAUUGGGCGUAAAGAGCUCGUAGGUGGCGGGUCACGUCGGGUGUGAAAGCCCGGGGCUUAACUCCGGGUCUGCAUUCGAUACGGGUCUGCUGGGGUCCGGCAGGGGAGACUGGAAUUCCUGGUGUAGCGGUGAAAUGCGCAGAUAUCAGGAGGAACACCGGUGGCGAAGGCGGGUCUCUGGGCCGGUACCGACGCUGAGGAGCGAAAGCGUGGGGAGCGAACAGGAUUAGAUACCCUGGUAGUCCACGCCGUAAACGUUGGGCGCUAGGUGUGGGGGGCAUUCCACGUCCUCUGUGCCGUAGCUAACGCAUUAAGCGCCCCGCCUGGGGAGUACGGCCGCAAGGCUA